GACAGAGGUGCCGAGCGUUAGGCGGAAUCACUGGGCUUAAAGCGUGUGUAGGCGGAUGGGUAAGUACCUUGUGAAAUCCCACGGCUCAACCGUGGAACUGCUCGGUAUACUGCUCGUCUUGAGCCAACUAGGGGCGACCGGAACAAACGGUGGAGCGGUGAAAUGCGUAGAUAUCAGGAGGAACACCGAUGGCGAAGGCAGGUCUCUGGGCCACUACUGACGCUGAGAAGCGAAAGCGUGGGGAGCGAACAGG
rnacentral:rRNA from 1 species